rnacentral:ncRNA from 1 species
AAUAUGUUAAUAUUUUGAUUUCGUAUAUCCCCGGUAAUACGGAUCGGGGGUCUCUACAAGGAACCCUAAAUUCCUGGCUACGAAUAGGAGCUUUCGCAUA